CCUACGGGAGGCAGCAGUGAGGAAUAUUGCUCAAUGGACGAGAGUCUGAACCAGCCAAGUCGCGUGAAGGAUGACUGCCCUAUGGGUUGUAAACUUCUUUUAUAUGGGAAUAAAACGUUCCACGUGUGGGAUUUUGUAUGUACCCUAUGAAUAAGGAUCGGCUAACUCCGUGCCAGCAGCCGCGGUAAUACGGAGGAUACGGACGUUAUCCGGAUUUUUUGGGUUUAAAGGGAUCGUAGGUGGAUUGUUAAGUCAGUUGUGAAAGUUUUCGGCUCAACCGUAAAAUUGCAUUUGAGACUGGCAGUCUUGAGUACAGUAGAGGUGGGCGGAAUUCGUGGUGUAGCGGUGAAAUGCUUAGAUAUCACGAAGAACUCCGAUUGCGAAGGCAGUUCACUGGACUGCAACUGACACUGAGGCUCGAAAGUGUGGGUAUCAAACAGGAUUAGAUACCCCAGUAGUG
rnacentral:rRNA from 1 species